rnacentral:rRNA from 1 species
ACCCGCACAAGCGGUGGAUGAUGUGGUUUAAUUCGAUGCAACGCGAAGAACCUUACCUGGGCUUGACAUCCCGGGAAUCCCCUGGAACAGGGAGUGCCUUCGGGAACCCGGUGACAGGUGCUGCAUGGCUGUCGUCAGCUCGUGUCGUGAGAUGUUGGGUUAAGUCCCGCAACGAGCGCAACCCUUGUCUUUAGUUGCCAUCAUUAAGUUGGGCACUCUAAAGAGACUGCCGGUGUCAAACCGGAGGAAGGUGGGGAUGACGUCAAGUCCUCAUGGCCUUUAUGACCAGGGCUACACACGUACUACAAUGGCAGGUACAAAGGGCAGCCACUUAGCGAUAAGGAGCGAAUCCCAUAAAACCUGUCUCAGUCCGGAUUGGAGUCUGCAACUCGACUCCAUGAAGUUGGAAUCGCUAGUAAUCGCAGAUCAGCACGCUGCGGUGAAUACGUUCCCGGGCCUU